ACCAGAAGGGUAGUUAGGCAUUGGAACAGGCUUCCAGGGAAGUGGUGGAAUUGCCAUCCUCGGAAGUGUUCAGGAAACAUGUAGAUGAGUCUCUUCCUUACAUGGUUUAGUGGUGAACUUGGCAGACUGGGGUAAAGACUGGACUUGAUGAUCUUAAAGGUCUUUUCCAACCUGGUUGAUUCUGUGAUUGUUUUAAAUGGCUCUGCUUUCACCUUGCCUCCUCAUUUUAUGGCAUUUUUGCCUUCCUCCAACAAGCAGAGGCAAGGUGGAGGCCAGCAUCUCUUCAGGUGCCACUUCUGUAAGGCCUCUCACAAUGGGGGUGGCACAGCCUCUCCCUGGAGAAAGGCCUUGAGGUUUCAGUGUUGCCAAUGCUUCAAAAGAUGAGAUAGUUUGAAAAACUGCAGGGAGGAAGAGAGAUCCCAGAGAAAGCUCAGAGGAAUUUUGGGAAGGAGGAAGUACUGUGGAAGGGAAUAGACAGGAGUAAGCUGAGUUCAGGCUACCCUGGAGCCUCUGUGCAACUGGACUGAAGGAUUAACAUAGUCCUACAAGUUGCCAUGCUGUUGCUUCUGUAACUGAUGCCUUCUUGCAUGAGAGAAGUGGAGGUGGAUAUGGGCAUCCAUUUAGGAAGAUCAUUCUGCUGCCUUCUCUCAGAGUUGAAGCUUCAGCAUUCAGGUCUAGUAAAAAAUUCUACUC